UAUCUCUUAAAACAUUUUUAAAAGUUGCUAGGUGUUAAUAAUGCAAUAUAAUAAAGAAAAUAAAAAUAAUUUAACCAAUAAAGAAAUAGACAACAAUCAAAACAAAUACAAUAAAAUGUUGGUAUUUGUAGUCAGUGUACGUGUAUUAAAAAUAUUUUCAAAAUAACAUUCAGUGAGUCACUGCAAUUUAUUCCCUUUAAUAGCAUAAUACGACUUAAAUAAACAAACAUUUAAUCUGUCAUCUUUUUAAAAUGAUCGUAUUUACAUUUCUAUAACCCGUUGUUGCCUAAACGGCUGAGAACGGGGAGCCACGUUCCCACAUGUUUUUGUCGUCCGCCACAAACCUGCGUAGCAACAGGACACACCUCUCCCUGCACUACGGAUUUGUGAGCCAAUCGCGAUUGACUUUCGGCGUGACGUCGUUUUUGUUGACACUUCGAUUAGCUGGCUACCUGCGAGACGUCACUGCAGCAGCGCGAGCCCGUGACCCUCGACGUCCACCCCGCGCGUUUUCUGCCUGGAAACAUCGCGAGCUAAUCGGUGCCGGGAAAGCGCAGGAUUCCGGGGGCUGGAGUCGGCGUGGGGUAAAGUCUUGCCGUGCCUCGGCUCGUUAACGCACUAUUGAUCGGUUUUUGUCCCAGUCACGGUGUCAAACGCUCCCUGAGUGCUUGCUGCAAAUGGGGUCUGAUCAGAGCACCAGUUCGGCUGCUGACCAGCAGCAGUGGGAUCCAGACAAUCUUCCAUUGCAAGGUGAAGUAUCUUCAUCCGGUCACCAGACUGACACCGGUCGUGAGUGCCGGGACAGCCUGGAUCCAGACAUUGACCUUCCACAAUGUCGCAUGGGCACCAGGAAGGUAGACGACAUGAGCUUCAUGAUAGCCUGCACUAACUGGUAUUGAAAACCAGAGACGCUGCACCGAUUAAACUGGACGUUUCGUCCGCGAAUGAAUGCUAGAUUUAGUGCAGGGACAGCAGAAGAAACGGAGGUGCUGGACUGGUUUGAUGCAAAGUAUUCCAUUAAUAAGUUGUGCAAUGUGUUUUAAGACGAUGAGAAUAAAACGAAGGCACAUGUUUGUAUUCACAAAUGAAAUCUCUUCUGAUGUAUUACGUGGUUGAUAUCCACCUGCACUGAUGAAGCAUGUAUGCAUAAAUAUAUAUUGUUAAACAUCCAUCCAGAAAGCAUCAAA